rnacentral:rRNA from 1 species
UGGGUAACCUGCCUCAAAGAGGGGAAUAGCCUCCCGAAAGGGAGAUUAAUACCGCAUAAUAUGUUUAAGUCGCAUGACUUUAACAUCAAAGGAUUUUUCUUUUAAGAAAUUCCACUUUGAGAUGGACCCGCGGCGCAUUAGCUAGUUGGUGAGGUAACGGCUCACCAAGGCAACGAUGCGUAGCCGACCUGAGAGGGUGAUCGGCCACAUUGGAACUGAGACACGGUCCAGACUCCGUAGGAGG